rnacentral:lncRNA from 1 species
AUCUUUAGCUGCCAUGACAACAGGAUACAGAGAGAUGCAUUUUCAUAACAAUUGCUAGCAGUGUUGAGAAUCACUGUUACUUGGUGUCAGGGAACAGCUGGCUCUGGGAAGAACACAGCAUUGUUUCUCUUAACUGGUCUGUGUAUGACUCCGCACUUGUGUUAGCAUUCUGACGCUGUAACAAAAUACCUAAGCUAAUGAACUUAAAACAGAGGACAGCUUGAGUUUGGCUCUACGUUUGGAGUUCCAGUCAACGGUUGAUCAGCCCCAUUGCGUUUGGGACUGUGGUAAGGUAAUAUAUCCCGGUGGGAGAGUAUGGCUGAGCAAACCUAUCCGUUCAUGGCAGGUUCAGGAAGAAAGAGAGAACCAAACAGUUUAAACAUGUAUUUCCUCAGAACCCUGACUGAGACAGUUGAAACUAGAAGUGGUCCUGUAAAGCAGGCAAAGAUUAGGGCCUAUAGGCAGAUUAGGGCCAUCUGGCUAGCAAUAAGGACUUUACUAUUGGUGGCUGGUGGAGAGCAAAUACUGUAACACAAGGUGGUUGAAACUCUUGUGGCUGAUGAAUUGGGAUGAGGUGGAAGGAAGGGUACUAACGCAUCACCUGGUACCCCAGUUCCAGUGGUUGCAGGGCAUAAGAGAAGGUAAGAAUGUAGCCGGUAGCUGUAAUUAUAGUGAAUGACAGGGUUAGAGUAGAAUCCCUAGGGACAGAAUAAAAGUACAGGCAACACAGGCACCCAGCUUGUAGUCCUAAAAGAAAUCGUGACUGGAGGACUGAAAGAUGUCUGAGGCAUUUAACUCAGUAGGAAACAAUACUUUCUGGGGCUGGAGAGAUGGCUCAGCAGAGGAAUGCUCCCUGCCCUGGCAGAAGACCUGGGUUUGGUUCUCAGCACCCACAUGGCGGCUCACAGCCACUUGUAACUCUAGUUCCAGGGGAUCCCAUGUCUUCUUCUGACUUCCUCUUGCACCAGGCUAUUUUCCGGGUCCCCAGAUAUAUAACCGAAAUUCUUGUCACUUGAUGCUUGGGGUCUUUUUCCCUUAAAAGGGGUGGCUUUCAUUAUAUGUGUCUGAGUGCUUUGCCUCUGUGUGUGUAUGUGCACUACGUGCAUGCAGGACCCAUGGUGCCCAGGUCCUAUUAGAAGAGUGGUUCUCAACAUGUGAGUUGCAAUGACCCUUUCACAGGGAUCUCCUAAGACUAUCGGAAAACACAGAUAUUUACAUGAUAAUUCAUAACAGUAGCAAAAUUACAGUUAUGAAGUAGCAAAAAAAUUUUUUUUUAUGGUUGGGUGUCACCACAACAUGAGGACCAUUAAAGGAACAUAAAGGGUCGCAGCAUUAGGGAGGUUGAGAAUCACUGUGUUAAAGCGGCACUAGCUCCCAACCACAGAGCCAUCUUUCCAACCCCUAAAAUAUGCAUUUCCAUGUCUUUCAUAUUAUGCCAUCCUGUCAUGAAGGAGGAAGGCAGCACCAGGCAGACUGUCUCCUUUGGGUUCUGGAGGAAGCUUCUUCUUCACACUUGGAAAUCCUGCAAUAGUUAAAAUCCCGCCAUACCUGGUGUCUACAUAACAGGUUGUGUCACACAAGGCUGUCAGCUCCAAGAUGUGCACAGUACAAGACAGGGUUCUACACCCAGUCCAGGCCGUGCUAUAGGCAGCCCUAUGAUGAUACGACCAGGAAAUCCUUAUCAGUGGUUGGGGGAAAGGUCACAUUGAGCCAUAGCUGCAGCUGCGGUUGAAAUACUUCAGGCUCCUGUGAUUCAGUAUAAGACAAAAGGAGGAGUCACUUGUCAUGAACAAAUGACCUUGGCACUUGACAGUGGGCAGGGGUUGCUUUUAUAAAGCAGGCAGGGAGAAAUAGGAUCACAGUUGGCUUGGUGUCCCGCUUGCAUGUCACUUGGUCUGUCUAUGAUCAGCUAUGAUGCUAUAUGGGCCAGUGGCGUGCUCCUGAUAUGGGACAGGCACAGUGACCUAGAGUACAGGAUCCUCAGCAUCAGGGGCCAGUGUCGUGCCAGCAAAUGACCAAAGAGACCUGUGCAGAUGGUUGUUGAGGUUGAGUGUGUUGUUGAGGGGAUUGGGGUAGAGGGGGCUGUGGGUAGUUAUUAUGGUUCCAAGGCUAGCUUCCAAAUGGUAUCUGUUGCUCAUGUCACUAACCUUCCUCUUCAGAUGUUGAAUGUUUAGGUGACCAGCGUUCAGGGAACAGUGUUGAAUUAUUUCUACUCGGUGGUGGUAAAACCUCAUUCAAAGGCUGCCUCACAACAGGUGAUUGUGAUUUGCCUCGGGCACUAGCAGGCGUGUGAUCUUUGCCAGCUACAGAGAGUUUAAUUCUGGGGACUCUGGAGAAGGGAUACAUGGAAGAGCCCGCCCCCAGGACCUGUGGCUGGUGGCUACUCCUCUGCUGUUGCUGCUGCUGCCACUGCCCAGCUGCUGCCCCUGCAACUGCCACCUGCUGCUGCUGCUGCUGCAUGUGCUGCCAGUGCUACUGGUCUCUGCUGGUUCCUGCUGCUGCAGUUGCUGUUGCAUUUGCUAUGCUUGGAUUGCUUGUUUGUUGAACUGCUGGCUCUCCUGACGAUGAAGAUUAGACUUGCCCCAAGGAACCCCAUGCCUCUAUUCAGCAGUAAGUGGCCCAAAGAGGUCUACAACUUAUGAGAACUGAAUAAAGUAUCACAAAAAUAGUGCC